rnacentral:rRNA from 1 species
GACGAACGCUGGCGGCGUGCUUAACACAUGCAAGUCGAACGGAAAGGUCCUGCUUUUGUGAGGUGCUCGAGUGGCGAACGGGUGAGUAACACGUGAGUAACCUGCCCUUGACUUUGGGAUAACUUCAGGAAACUGGGGCUAAUACCGGAUAGGAGCUCCUGCUGCAUGGUGGGGGUUGGAAAGUUUCGGCGGUUGGGGAUGGACUCGCGGCUUAUCAGCUUGUUGGUGGGGUAGUGGCUUACCAAGGCUUUGACGGGUAGCCGGCCUGAGAGGGUGACCGGCCACAUUGGGACUGAGAUACGGCCCAGACUCCUACGGGAGGCAGCAGUGGGGAAUAUUGCACAAUGGGCGGAAGCCUGAUGCAGCAACGCCGCGUGCGGGAUGACGGCCUUCGGGUUGUAAACCGCUUUCGCCUGUGACGAAGCGUGAGUGACGGUAAUGGGUAAAGAAGCACCGGCUAACUACGUG